UUACUUCUUCACGCACGCGGCCCCCCCUCCCCCUCCUUCUUCUUAUUUUCUUUUCUUUUUUUCUUCUUUCGCUCACCCUAGCCGCCAUAACGCUUCGCCGGCCGUAUUUCUUUCUCUUCUGUUCGACGCCGACCGACAGCCCUAAGUUCGCGAAGCCGCCACCAUCUUCCUCUUUUCCAUUCGACGAAGCCCAGCAGCCGUACACGUCGCCGUUCGUCGGGCUAAAGCCAGAGCGUCAUCGCUCAGUCCCUUCAUUCUGUCUCUGUUCGUCCUGGUUCGUGAAGCCGCCGCUCGAUUCAUCAACCAUCCGCAGGACGAUUCAAUUACCCUAGGAGUUAUGCGUCGUUCGGCUUGCACAAGCCGUCUGCCGAACGUCCGGCGCCGCCACGACUUUUCAACUUCCAGUCGUGAGUUACAAGCCAGCUUACACUCGGAUCGGUUUGCACGAUUUUUCGUUGGGAUCGUUAGUCACUACCUCUUUCGUCUGUAAAUCAUCAAAGUUGUUUUGUUGGUAACAAUUUAAGUUAUGGUUUGUAAUUGUUUCAAAGUGUUCAAGCGUUAUGGUUGGAAUAGUUGAUUAAUUUGUUAUUUGAUUCUUGGAGGUGUUGGAAGUAAAGUUGGAUCACUUGAAUUCACAACCAAUUUGUGAAUUUUUGAGUUUGGUUAACCAAUACCUUGGUAAGCUAAAUUUUUACCUUGAGGAAAUUAAGUGGGAGUUGUAUCGUGGAAAUAAUUGAAUUAUUUUAUCCUUAUAAUUAGGUGUCUUUUAUCGGAUAUAGUUGUUCGAGAAAUUGAGUAACCUUGAGAUAAGGGACUUUCUACAAAAGUUAAGAUGUAUUGACUGUAUGGACCGUAUUGCUAUAUUGCUAUAUCUGAACUGAGUAGGGAUGACAGUUAUGAUGUAUAUGUUUUAAUGUGGACUUAAUGUUUAAUGUAUAUUGUGUUUGACUGAGAAAAAUUUAUAUAUACAUGCAUGGUUUGUUGUGGACUUGUGGUUGAGUACAUGUUGUGAUUAUAUAAAGUGUCGAUUAAAUUGGUAGAUUGUUUUUUAGACUGAAUGUAUGAUAUACUGUUAUGGUUUCGUACUGAAUGUAUGAAUCUCAUGAUGUGUGAACGGAGGAGACGUCAUUGUUGUGCCCUUGGACUGAUGGGGAGGUUAUGAUUAUUUAGUUUGUUGACUGAUGUAGUGAUAUGUUUCUGACUGACCUUGGCCUAAAUUAGAGUAAGAUGACUGUUUGUGGUUAAAUGAAGAGAUUAUGUGAUGAGGAUAUCUAACUGAGUUGUGGAUGACUGUUAAGAUGUUUAGAAUGGAUUGAAGGGAAAAUUAUUAGUUUCCUAUUGGGUAGUUACCUUGCAGGUGUCCUAUGGGAUCACCACCCUUUUUGUGCAUCCUUCGGGAGCACUAGACUGAUAUGUGUUUAUGCAGAACACUAGACUGAUUUAUGCGUCCUUUGGGGUGUUAGACUGACUGUGCAAGCAAAAGUAACAAGGGAGGUAAAGGGAGGUAAAGGGAGGUAAAGGGAGGCAGACCGACGAGGGGCAGGAAGGAAGCGUGAUUGCCUUAGGGAAUAUUUUAAUUUGCUUCCGUUGUUUCUUAUUUCGUUUAAGUACUUGAGACUGUUUAGAAAAUUUUGUGGUUUAACUGAAUUCAUGAACUGAUAAUUUGUAAUUUGUAAGCAUUUCUUUGAAAGUUUUUUUUUUUGUUAUUUGAAAUAGGGCCCGAACUUAAGUUUGUUUCCUUUGAUCACAUGAUUUCAAAUGAGUUUUAAUAUAUUUUGUGCCAA